UGGUUUGAUGAUGACUACUGGUGGCGUAUGAGUCUUUUGCAAUGAAUGCAUGUCUAGAACUCUGAGGUCCAU